GCUCUUCCCGGGGACAAUGUGGGCUUCAAUGUCAAGAACGUAUCUGUCAAAGAUGUUCGUCGUGGCAAUGUGGCUGGUGACAGCAAAAAUGACCCACCAAUGGAAGCAGCUGGCUUCACGGCUCAGGUAACACUUUAAAGUGGCAGUGUUCUCAACUUAACUGCCAGACUCCUGCCUUUUGAGAUUUAUUAAAUGCAAAUCUUUCCUCCAAGGUGAUUAUCCUGAACCAUCCAGGCCAAAUCAGUGCUGGAUAUGCACCUGUGCUGGAUUGUCACACGGCUCACAUUGCUUGCAAGUUUGCUGAGCUGAAGGAGAAAAUAGAUCGUCGAUCUGGAAAAAAGCUGGAAGAUGGUCCCAAGUUCUUGAAAUCUGGUGAUGCUGCCAUUGUUGAUAUGGUUCCUGGCAAGCCUAUGUGUGUUGAGAGCUUCUCUGACUAUCCUCCUCUGGGUAAGGAUGACUUUGAGUGUAAUUAGGAAAUUACAAGUUAGAAAAUAGUGCUUGUGUGGAGAGUUUCUGAUGGUCUAAAAUUUGUUUUAAUAGGCCGUUUUGCUGUUCGUGACAUGAGACAGACGGUUGCUGUGGGUGUCAUCAAAGCAGUGGACAAGAAGGCAGCUGGAGCUGGCAAGGAUCCAGUCCAAGUCACCACUGUUUUGGUUACUUUUAAAAACUCACAUGUUGGGAGUUUAUAUUUAUCUCUGCUGUAUCUCAUCUUGAGGCAAUUUUGAAUCUGGAACCUGCUAUCUAGCAUGUUAAAUAAAAAUGUGGGCUUUGUUAUUUA